UCUCUGUUAGUAUAUCGGUUAGUACACGCGCCUGUCACCCAGUGGUUCGCGCGAAAGCGGGGUUCGACUCCCCGACAGAGAG